rnacentral:rRNA from 1 species
UCCGUAGGUGAACCUGCGGAAGGAUCAGUCGCAACAACAUUGUCAGCCACACACCUUGGUAUGUGUGUGCUGUACGACAUUGUGCAUUAUUGGGAGGCACACGCGUGCGCCUCUCGAGGGAAUGGAAUAACAACGUAUAUAUAUACAAGGCUGUUUUAUUCAAACUAAACUAUAUACUUUUACGACUUUUAGCAACGGAUCUCUAGGCUCUUGCAACGAUGAAGAACGCAUGCUAACUGCGAUAAGUAAUGCGAGCCGCAAGUCUUGCGAGUCAUCGAAUGUUUGAACGCAUAUUGCGCCUCCUUGGCUACACGCUGGGGAGGCAUGCAUGUUUGAGGGUCGAUAGGACGAUGCAAAAGCGAGAUUGGGGCAUGAUGAUAGUCAUCUGCCUUUAAAUGGAUGGGACGCGCGAGAGGAGGAAAUACGUGGUGCGAUGCCAUUCACGCAGAGUAUCUCCAAGCUGGCGCGCCCACAUCAUCAUCUGAUCAUUUGGAUUGAGACCUCAAACAUGGCAGGGGGAUCACCCGGCUGGAACCUUAAGGCAUAUCAAUAAGGCGGGAGGGAAGGUCGGACUGGCCAAGGGGCACACAGGGGGGGGGAUA